GCCGCUGCGGCCGCGGCGCAUCGGGCUGAACCGCGGCAGAGCCGCAGCAGCCACCGGAGCACAGGAGCCGACAGGGCCCAGCCGGGAUGGUGCAACGGCGGCUCCGCGGCGCAAACACGCACUGAGUGGGCCCAAGCUGGGCCCCGCGUCCCCCGCGCCCCCCGCCGCCCCGAUCUCGGCCGGCAUGAUGUGCCUGGAAUGCGCCUCGGCGGCGGCGGGCGGCGCGGAGGAGGAGGAGGCGGACGCGGAGCGGCGGCGGCGCCGGCACCGGGGGGCGCAGCGAGGGGCUGGCAGUGGCGGUUGCUGCGGGGCGCGGGGAGCGGGCGCCGCUGGAGUCUUGGCCGCAGACGAUGAGGUGCACACGUUGUCGGGCAGUGUGAGGAGGGCCCCGUCCGGACCCCCGAGCACCCCGAGCACCCCCAGCUGCGUAGCCGCUGCCAAGGGCCCCGGCGCUCAGCAACCCAAACCGGCCAGCUUGGGCUGCGGGCGGGGGGCAGCUGCUGCCAUCCUCAGCCUGGGCAACGUGCUCAACUACCUGGACAGGUACACCGUAGCAGGCGUCCUUCUGGACAUCCAGCAGCACUUUGGGGUCAAGGACCGAGGCGCCGGCUUGCUGCAGUCAGUGUUCAUCUGCAGCUUCAUGGUGGCUGCCCCCAUCUUUGGCUACCUGGGUGACCGCUUCAACAGGAAAGUGAUCCUCAGCUGCGGCAUCUUCUUCUGGUCGGCGGUCACGUUCUCCAGCUCCUUCAUCCCCCAGCAGCACUUCUGGCUACUGGUCCUGUCUCGGGGACUGGUGGGCAUCGGGGAGGCCAGCUACUCCACCAUUGCGCCCACCAUCAUAGGCGACCUCUUUACCAAGAACACGCGCACGCUCAUGCUGUCUGUCUUCUACUUUGCCAUCCCACUGGGCAGUGGCCUGGGGUACAUCACUGGCUCCAGCGUGAAGCAGGCAGCUGGAGACUGGCACUGGGCCUUGCGGGUGUCCCCCAUCAUGGGCAUUGUCACAGGAACGCUCAUCCUCUACCUGGUCCCUGUCACCAAGAGGGGCCCUGCCGACCAGCUUGGGGGGCAGUUCAAGGCACGGACCUCAUGGCUCCGAGACAUGAAGGCCCUGAUCCGCAACCGCAGCUAUGUCUUCUCCUCCCUGGCCACGUCGGCUGUGUCCUUCGCCACAGGGGCCCUGGGGAUGUGGAUCCCGCUCUACCUGUACCGCGCCCAAGUUGUGCAGAAGACAGCAGAGACGUGCAGCAGCCCACCCUGUGGGGCCAAGGACAGCCUCAUCUUUGGGGCCAUCACCUGCUUUACUGGCUUUCUGGGUGUAGUCACCGGGGCAGGAGCCACACGCUGGUGCCGCCUGCGGACGCAGCGGGCCGACCCGCUGGUGUGCGCCGUGGGCAUGCUGGGCUCUGCCAUCUUCAUCUGCCUCAUCUUUGUGGCCGCCAAGAGCAGCAUCGUGGGGGCCUAUAUCUGCAUCUUUGUUGGGGAGACGCUGCUCUUUUCUAACUGGGCCAUCACCGCGGAUAUCCUCAUGUACGUGGUCAUCCCCACGAGGCGGGCCACCGCUGUGGCCCUGCAGAGCUUCACCUCACACCUGCUGGGGGACGCCGGAAGCCCCUACCUCAUCGGCUUCAUCUCCGACUUGAUCCGCCAGAGCACCAAGGACUCCCCGCUCUGGGAGUUCCUGAGUCUGGGCUACGCCCUCAUGCUCUGCCCCUUCAUCGUGGUCCUGGGGGGCAUGUUCUUCCUCGCCACCGCUCUCUUCUUCCUCAGCGACCGCGCCAAGGCUGAGCAGCAGUCCCUGCCCAGCGCGUCCGGCCAGCCGGCCCCCGCGAUACGAUGUGCCAGAGCAGUGCCCGGGCCAGGCCCCCGCUGAUCCACCACCUUGACCCCUGCCCGUCUCUCCCCCAGGGUGAACCAGCUGGUCAUGCCGCCCGCAUCUGUGAAAAUCUGAGGCAGUGCCACUGGGACAGUGAAGAAUCCGCACUCUCACCCAGUUUGGGAGGUGUCCCACGGUAUCCUGGCCCUGCUGGGCUGGCCCGAAGCUUUCUGUGUGACCCACGGCUGGGCACACACUCUCUUUGGUCUGGGACUGAUGAGUGGCUGUGGCUGCAAGAAGAGGCUGUGUCCUCAACUAACUUACAAGGCUGUGUGUGCUGGAGCCACAGGGUUGGAUUGACUACCAGCCCUAGAUUUGGGCUGCAGGGCCCCUGGGCCUCAGGGAGAAGACAGCCCUCAGUGAGUGUGUGGGGAGAGCCUGGCCCGUCACCAGCUUGUGUGCUCCUGGGUAAGUCCCUGCCCUCCCCAGACCGUGGGGCCAGGGGGCUGGACUUUCCCACACAGCUUGCUGGGCAAGGCACUAUCCACAACUCUGGAGAUCCAACAAUUCCUGGACUGCACAGAAGGGAAGAGGUGGCCCAGGCCUCAGGGCGGCACUCCAGGCUCUGAGGCUCCCCGAAGGGCCUGGCGUGUGGGGACCACAGCCUUUCGGCUGGGCCUCCAACCUUGGGCAUGCUGAACUCAGUUUGGGAGAGCCAGGCACCCAGGUGGACGGUCACACUGGAGGACACUUCUGCUGCCUUGGGCUGGUCUCAGCCUGGAUGUUUCCUGUUCAGGGAUCAUCCUGAUAGGGAGCUGGCAUCACCAGGGGUGAAGGCCCUGGCGGCAGCCACACACUACCUAUGCCCACGGCUUGAGCAAUUUGGGGGUCACCCACCCCAAGAGGGCUCCUUGCAGCCCCUGGAGCACCUCCCUGUCCAGUCCAUCUCCUCAGACCCCCAGGAGCCAGGAACAUACUCCUGCCCCCAGGCCGGGCCAUUUCCAGGGGCAGGGCCCAAAGGACUAUUCCCAGAAUCCAUGGGGCAGUAGCCAGGGUUCUUGCUGCCAGAGGAAGCAGCCAUCCACUGACUUCCUGUCCCAGGGAAUAGCUGGUGGAGGUUGGGGCCCAUCGGGAGAGGCCAACACCAGAGCCACCUCUAGUCAAACAUCUGCUGCUACUGCUCUCAUGAACAUUUCCACACAGCCCAUUGCUUCCCUCAGCCUCUGACCACUUCCACACUCCCAUCUGCACACACCUUGCCAUCCUCAGAACCACACACUAGGGUGCAGCCAUUAACUCCACGCCAGUCCCCUGGCCCCUUGUGGGGCUUAUCACAGCUCCUCUGCCACCCACAUUCCCUCCCUGCACACUUGCUGUGAUCAAGGUGGUUCUGGCCCAGGGGCCCCUUGAGGUCAGGAGACCCGAGCCACCAGCUUAGACAUGCUCUUAUCCCUGUAGUUGCUGGUGUGGCUUCAGUGGUGUGUUAAGCUAGUGAAAUACCCACUCCCCACCAAGCUCUGGGGCUCCCUGGGGGGCCUAACAAGGGGGUGAGACCCCUCAAAGACCACCUGGUCUCCACUCCCACCUCAGCCUCAAUGGGGGCCCCAGCGAUGUUUUCUUGUUGUACAAGAACCAGGUCCAAGUGUUGCGUCCUCUUCCUUCCGGAAGCCAAACCGCUCCUUUAUUUUUUAGAGCUGCUGAUUGUGAAUCUCAUUGUCUUAAGACAAAAACCAAAUAUAUUCCUCUUGUAAAUGAAGAAAUAAACCUAUUUAAAUGAU